rnacentral:rRNA from 1 species
UACGUAGGGUGCAAGCGUUAAUCGGAAUUACUGGGCGUAAAGCGUGCGCAGGCGGCUUUGCAAGACAGAUGUGAAAUCCCCGGGCUCAACCUGGGAACUGCAUUUGGGACUGCAAGGCUGGAGUACGGCAGAGGGAGGUGGAAUUCCACGUGUAGCAGUGAAAUGCGUAGAGAUGUGGAGGAACACCGAUGGCGAAGGCAGCCUCCUGGGCUAGUACUGACGCUCAUGCACGAAAGCGUGGGGAGCAAACAGG